UAGUAUCCCCUUAUACAGGAUAAAUAAGUCCAGGGACACAUUUGUCCCUUGAGCAAUACAAAGAUGAAUUUUCACAAUGCCACAAAUGGCUAAAGUACUGCAAAACUGUGUGUCUUUUUUUUUUUUUAAUCUGUGAAAUGUCUAGGGCCUGUCAAGUCUACUUUGUCUUGACUGUUUUAAAAUGCAUUCACUGUUUCUAAAGCGUCAAACUGUCUUUUGCCCUUUGCUGUGGGGCGAUAAAGCAUACUGAACUGAACUCAUGUAGUGAACGUUUUUCAACCACGGCAGUAAACUUAUUGAUGAAUUACUACCUGUUAAUAAAAAAAACAUUUUACAUAAAAGGAAAAACUUCUUUAACAACCAAGAAGAGUCCAGUAGUUCAACUUUUGUGAAUUAUCAUGAGCUGGAUGGCUGAGAAUCUCCACAGACACGAUCAAUCAAAACUGAGCAUUGCUAUCUGUGUGAAGGAAGGAUUUUCGAUUUAGGUCUUGUAUUGCAUCUCAAUAUAGUGUACUUAACAUUGCGAAUAUAAAAACAUUAUUUCAUCUUAUCCGUAGGAAAUUUUAGAGGCAAAACCUGCUCACAGCAGAUCCUGAAGUCACCCGUCUCUGAUGACACCAAGGACAUCGCGAUCCCUCUGUCCCCAGGUCCGCUCGAGCAAGAGCAGUGAUGUGAGGGACGUUGAACCGGCUUUGAAUCAGAUGUGUGAUGCAAUUUAUCUACACAGAGGACAAAAUGCAAAAAAAUGCAAAAGGCUCUUCCUGUUGAUCUUUAUGCAUCGGAGGCCCUUCCAAUUGUGUGUCAUUCAAAGUGGCAUCUUUCCCUGACAAGAUCCUACGUGGGACAGAACUCUUCAGAAUAGAUCUAAAC